rnacentral:rRNA from 1 species
AGAAUCAACGCUGGCGGCGUGCCUAACACAUGCAAGUCGCACGAGAAAGGGUAGCAAUACCUGAGUACAGUGGCGCACGGGUGAGUAACACGUGAAUAAUCUACCUCCGAGUGGGGAAUAACUGAGAGAAAUCUUAGCUAAUACCGCAUAACACUUACGAGUCAAAGCAGCAAUGCGCUUGGAGAGGAGUUCGCGGCAGAUUAGUUAGUUGGCGGGGUAAUGGCCCACCAAGACGAUGAUCUGUAUCCGGCCUGAGAGGGCGCGACGGACGACGACUGGAACUGAAACACGGUCCAGACUCCUACGGGAGGCAGCAGUGGGGAAUCUUGCACAAUGGGCGAAAGCCUGAUGCAGCAACGCCGCGUGGGGAUGAAGCUUCUCGGAGUGUAAACCCCUUUGACCCCGGAAGAAAGCCCGCAAGGGUUUGACGGUACGGGUAUAAGAAGCCCCGGCUAACUACGUGCCAGCAGCCGC